rnacentral:rRNA from 1 species
UCGAGAAUUUUUCUCAAUGGGGGAAACCCUGAAGGAGCGACGCCGCGUGGAGGAUGAAGGUCUUCGGAUUGUAAACUCCUGUCAUUUGGGAACAAUGUGCCGCGAUUAACUGUCGUUGUAUUGAUAGUACCAGAAGAGGAAGAGACGGCUAACUCUGUGCCAGCAGCCGCGGUAAUACAGAGGUCUCAAGCGUUGUUCGGAUUCAUUGGGCGUAAAGGGUGCGUAGGCGGCGGGGCAAGUCAGGUGUGAAAUCUCGGGGCUCAACCCCGAAACUGCACUUGAUACUGCUCUGCUAGAGUACUGGAGAGGAGAUUGGAAUUUACGGUGUAGCAGUGAAAUGCGUAGAUAUCGUAAGGAAGACCAGUGGCGAAGGCGAAUCUCUGGACAGUUACUGACGCUGAGGCACGAAGGCCAGGGGAGCAAACG